AACGAACGCUGGCGGCAGGCUUAACACAUGCAAGUCGAGCGCCCCGCAAGGGGAGCGGCAGACGGGUGAGUAACGCGUGGGAACGUGCCCUUUGCUACGGAAUAGCUCCGGGAAACUGGAAUUAAUACCGUAUGAGCCCUUUGGGGGAAAGAUUUAUCGGCAAAGGAUCGGCCCGCGUUGGAUUAGCUAGUAGGUGGGGUAAAGGCCUACCAAGGCGACGAUCCAUAGGUGGUCUGAGAGGAUGAUCAGCAACAUUGGGACUGAGACACGGCCCAAACUCCUACGGGAGGCAGCAGUGGGGAAUAUUGGACAAUGGGCGCAAGCCUGAUCCAGCCAUGCCGCGUGAGUGAUGAAGGCCUUAGGGUUGUAAAGCUCUUUCACCGGAGAAGAUAAUGACGGUAUCCGGAGAAGAAGCCCCGGCUAACUUCGUGCCAGCAGCCGCCGUAACAC
rnacentral:rRNA from 1 species